GAGGAGAGGGGACAAAGGAGAUCCUAAGGACCUAAGCCAUUUGUUGCUUUGUAACUCAAACAGCAUCGUACAUUAUGCUCAGGGAGAUGCUAAAAGUGAAACCCUGGACAUUUGAGCAAGAUGGAGGUAUUGUAUCAUAUAAAACAUGGAGGUGUUGUUUUUGUUGAAGGUGUAGGAAGCAUUUCUUGGGAAUUGACAUAGGAACCUUAUAUAAGAGCGGAAUGUAAAAGAAAGGUCAUGAAAGCUUUAAUGCCAUUUCUGGAUGUGUUAGCAGAAACAAGGCCACGGCUCUAGGGUCCAUAGAGGAUUUGGUUGGAAAGCACAUAGUGCAACAACCUUGCAGAAGCAAAGCACGUCUGGGUUUAGUCAGUGAUUGAAUGGGAGGCCACCUGCGAACCCCUCCAUAUGCCGGUUCUAUGAGGAAAAAAGGUAAGGCUGAAGAGAUAAUAAUACCGGUAAGUAGUAAAAUGAAACAUAGGCAAACAAACCUUCCGGUAAUGUUAGUUGUUUCUUAGUCUUGGAAAUGUGUUCUAGUUUUAACAGCUACAUCUAAAUUAAGUUUUAACCAGACUGGGGAGAAUUUAGGAAGCUGCAGAGAAGACAAAGAGCAUGAAGGAUAUCACUAGGAUCUUUGCGUCACUGAGCAAACAGGUAAUGGGUGAGACAACAGUGAAAAGUAAGGGAACAGAGAAAAAUAAAAUCCUCAGGACAAUUUUGUAAUGGAAAAUAACUUUGCUUUCACUAUUGACAUGGGAAGCACAACCAUCCACAAGGGUAUCAUCUCACUGAUCCCCUCUGGGUUUCCUUCUACUUCCUUCUACAUUUUGCUAGAAAUAAUUCAUGACAUAUUGAAAAGUUUGUGGUGAGACUGAAAAAGAGAUUGAAAAGGUGUUUGUUACAUCACAGGCACAGCUUUUGUUAACUGAGCUAUAUUUACCAUAUACCAUACACCAAGUAAUGUAUUUCUUUGACAGCUGACAACUUAGUUUCAAGAACACUGAACCAGGGGUGGCUUGGAAGGAAAAAACAGCCCAAUAAAAGGACCACAUGCCCCCUGGGGAGUAGAGAAACAUCUUGCCACAGUAUUUCCAUGCCACAUGCAA